UACGUAGGGUGCAAGCGUUGUCCGGAAUUAUUGGGCGUAAAGAGCUCGUAGGCGGUUUGUUGCGUCGGGAGUGAAAACCUCGGGCUUAACUCGGGGCUUGCUUUCGAUACGGGCAGACUGGAGGUAUGCAGGGGAGAACGGAAUUCCUGGUGUAGCGGUGAAAUGCGCAGAUAUCAGGAGGAACACCGGUGGCGAAGGCGGUUCUCUGGGCAUGUCCUGACGCUGAGGAGCGAAAGUGUGGGGAGCGAGCAGG
rnacentral:rRNA from 1 species